rnacentral:rRNA from 1 species
AGUGAACGCUGGCGGUAGGCCUAACACAUGCAAGUCGAACGGCAGCACAGUAAGAGCUUGCUCUUACGGGUGGCGAGUGGCGGACGGGUGAGGAAUACAUCGGAAUCUACUUUUUCGUGGGGGAUAACGUAGGGAAACUUACGCUAAUACCGCAUACGACCUACGUGUGAAAGCAGGGGAUCUUCGGACCUUGCGCGAUUGAAUGAGCCGAUGUCGGAUUAGCUAGUUGGCGGGGUAAAGGCCCACCAAGGCGACGAUCCGUAGCUGGUCUGAGAGGAGGAUCAGCAACACUGGAACUGAGACACGGUCCAGACUCCUACGGGAGGCAGCAGUGGGGAAUAUUGGACAAUGGGCGCAAGCCUGAUCCAGCCAUACCGCGUGGGUGAAGAAGGCCUUCGGGUUGUAAAGCCCUUUUGUUGGGAAAGAAAAGCAGCAGGUUAAUACCCCGCUGUUCUGACGGUACCCAAAGAAUAAGCACCGGCUAACUUCGUG